rnacentral:lncRNA from 1 species
CCGGGCCUCGCUCCCGCCCCCGCCGGCUCCACGCGCCCGCCCCGCUCGCCCCCGCCCCCCGGCCCGCACAGACCCCCGCCUUUGUUAUGGUGCGAAGUUGGGCUGUGGGUCCGUCUCUUUCACUUCUUGGGUUACAGUGCAGCCGUGUGACGUCCGCUCCACAUGACGGGGGCGGGGGGCGGGCGCCGGGGGGCGGGGGCGGCGGGCCAGGCCCUCCCCGUGCUUCUCCGCCCCUUCCCGCCCCGCCCACGGCCCUCCUCCUGGCAGCCCAGCAACAAGCGGCCACCGGCCCCACCCCGGGGCGGGCAGAAGCGCAGCAACCCCGCGAUGCUCCCGGAAGACACCGCGUCUCCAACAUUUACACGGAGAUGGUGCUCGGCUCAGGUCGGGUCCGUACGCUUCCCGAGGUGCGUACUACGAGAGCCACACACAUCACUACCGAUAUUCCUGGGAAAGUCAGUGCCACAGUAAGUCAGCUGCAAGCGUGGGGUGGCCGGUGACGCGCUCUGCCCGUGAAUACGCCCAUUGUGCAGGGCAGACGCAGCCAGGGCGCAGCGUUCAGGAGGCGGGUGGGCAGCCGAACUUUCACUAGCCACAAGCGCUUCACCUUCUAGAAUUUGCCAGGGACUAAGCAUCAACUCCCAGUGAGAAAAUAAAAUGUGAAGUUGGAAGACACAUGCUGCCCUUCACUUUUGUACGGAGUUCACAUCAGUUUCAGCAAUCCGCGUUCUCAGUUCGCUUUGCCCGGGCGAGUGGGCUCCAUCACCUGGACCAAAAACGCACCAGGAUGCGCCUGCCCGGGGCAACGAGGCCGAAGAAACCGCACGUUUCGAGUCCCCAGUUGCUGAGAAACAAUCACAGCCCUCCUCUUUUCUUUCCCUCUUGCAGGUUCCGACCUGAAUCCGAAAGUGCUUCUAAAUCCCAUGCUUCACAGAACGUUCGGAAGGGGAGGCGCUCCGUGGGGGCUGCUGCGUGCCCAUGUAGCUGAACCGACUCGAAUAAAAGCGUGUCCACGUCUACAUCACACAUCUGUGUAAAUGCAGAAGCCUGCGGAUGCGCGGAGCUGGCCAGACUUCACAGUGUGCAGACACAUGGGCUCAUGCACGCGCGCGCGCUCACACACACUCACACCCCAAAUUACCUCCGGGAUGGAGAAAGCCGCUGCGGAUUGGCCAACAGAGCCGUCACUCAUGCCCAGGGGGCAGGGAGACUUCGCAAAGCUGUUUCCUUUUUUUUUUUUCUCUCUCUGCUCUCCUCCCUACCGUUUCAUUUAAUGGUAAAACAACAGCAGAGCUCUGAAAGUUAGCCAUCUGCGCGGAGUUUGCCUUCUUUAAGGAGGGAGGCGUCAGACGAUAUCCAUUUAAAUAUAUUUUGUACUUCCACAAAGGAUGGAAAGGGAAAUUAACGAAGGGAGUGGAGGCGGAAAGGGAGCUCCGAGUAAGAAGGAGGGGUCAUCCCGCGGGGGGGGGAGGGGGCGGGGGCCGAGGGCCAACGCUGGGGAAAGAGUUGUUCUCUACACCGAAAAGGGACUUUGACCUUCCAUUGAUCUCUCAAAAUUAAAAAACGUUUCUUCACAGGUCAGAUUGCAACAAACGCUCGUUCCUAAUUUAUGAACUCGUCCUUUUGAUUUUAUUAUUUAAGCAUGCGCCAGCAAUCGUGUUUCCUUAAGAAAGAACUGACCUAUUUUUGGCUGGAGAUAAACGAUCAUGUUAACAGAUGUUAAUCUUGUAAUCUGUUUUUCCUGUAAGCACUUUACCUACCCGGGUUUCAGACCUUAAAAAUAACAUCUUUUCCAAAAAGACCUGACGUCACAAUUCACUCCCUGAAAAAUCACACUCCCCCUCCGGUUUCUUCCCCUGCAAUGAUUUCAAAGACAUUAAAUCUUUUCCACUUUAUAAAUGCUGAUCUGUUCUGCCUCUACUCCCACAGGCUCUUAUUUGCAUUUCAAAUUCCACAGGUUACACCAGUCGCCUUUUCAAAAAAUGUAAACCAACAAUGAAGCAGCAAAUGGCUUUUUGUGCAUCUGGAUUAAAUAAAGCACAGAAUGAAUAUAUUUGAAAAGAGGACUGCGCAAGUUGAUCUUUGCACACCCAGAGACCCAGUGACUCUUUAUCAGCGGAAUGAGUAAGACACACAGCCCCCAGAGCUCCCUGUCUGAUCCCGGUCUGCUGCGGGAAGCUUAUUAACGCUGAUAAUAGAUGGGGCUGACUUACAGACCCACAUUUUUCGGAUAAAAGGCUGGUUCCCUCUGGUCCCUAAUUGCGGGGGUCCACUGGCUUUCCUCACCGCACACAUAAACUGCUGCUUUUAAAUACCCCACUCGGCUGCAGUUUAACAAACUUAUUCAUACAAAGUUUCUUUAAAACUUGAGGCGGUUUAAUCUAAAUACUGAUCGUAACUAUUCAGUCUGUUAGUUCUCCCUGGAAAUGGCAGCGGAGGCGCCUCCCCCCACCUCCCGCCCAACCACACACACCCCACCGCAUUCUUCCUUCAUACACCCGGGUUCAUCUCGCCACCGAGGCCUCCCCCACCCGCGCCCGGCGGGGCGCAGCUCCGAGGAGUCCCUGCCCACCCCUCUUCGAGUCGGUGCCAGACCCUCGCCCCCACCCCCACCCCCGCCCGAACUUCCCUUCCAGGACCUCUCACUUCUUUAACGUUAGGGUCACUUAGAAGCUCCCCGCAGACUGGCAAGCAGCCGGGGAGGGGGCCGUAAAAAACAAGGCCACCCCCCUCCACGCAAAUACGUCCCCUAGGCAGCAGCGCGCUGUGCCCACAGGCAUCGAUCCCAUCCGCCAAACCCUUAAUAAUUGAAGCGGCUCCUCGGGCCCGCAGCCCCAUCACCCACCUUCAUUAGCCGGAGCGUUUUACUUUAAAGUAAGGCAAUUUGCUCUUUGUCUCCUAAUGGAUGGAGAGCGCAUCCGAGCUCCCCUCCUCCCGCGUCGCCUUUGACGAAGUGUACAAAGCCAGAGCCUCUUCCGCGCUCCCACCCCGGCCCCCACCCCGCCCCUCCACUGCGGUAAAAACCACCUCCCGGG